AAAAUAAUUCUAACCCUAAUCCAUUAUCCUGUCCAAGCCCAAAUUCAAGCCUAUCGGUGAAAUGGUGAAAUAAUUUGCAGCCUUCUGAGAUUCCCCCAAACUCACUCGAUCAUGCUCAAACCUGGAAAGAAGGGAUGUUCUCGGUAAUACAAUUCAUCAAUUCCCAAAUUCAAAGUCGCAAUCUUUCGAGAAUUUACAGGAACUUAACUUACAGCAGGUAAAGUGGCUACUAAUCUUGAAAGGCCCAGGUCUGUGAUGACUCAUUGCAGUGCUAAUAGAGUUAUGUUGAGAAGGCAUUCCUCAAGCCAAGUUCUUCCUUCUGGAAGUAAGAGACUCUGGUGGAAGAUGUUACUCUGGAGCCAUAGGAACAUACAUAGACAUAUUUCAAGCAAAUCAACACAGGUGAAUCCUGGUGUGGCUGUAACGCACAAUCCAUACGGGUACUCUUCCGACACCCUUGAACCGAAGCACAAGCAGUCACCAAGAAACGUGGAAUGAAGAGAGACGAGAGGAUGUUUCGGUUGAGUAAGAACAAGGCUUAUUCGAAAUCUGCAGCUGAUACAAGAUUUGAGUUCUGAUUCUCUCAUUUUAAGGCUCUUCAGGUAAUUUAAUUUAAUUUUUAUUUUUCCCUUAUUCUUCCAUUUACGUUGAUAAAUGCUAAUGCAAUAGU